GUGGGACCCGCUGAAUUCAAGAGUCCCGUGUAAACAUCAGGAAAAGACAACGAUGAGCUCAUUAACAAUCGUGGGGGAGAGAGCUUUCUAGAAGUAUUUUCACACCUAAGCCGGUGCGAGCGUAAAUCACAAGAACUCAUCUGGAAAGCAAGUUGCAAAGCUCCCAGUGUUAUAAAUCUGUCCCACGAGAACAGCCCUGAAACUGAACACCCAGGAACUCUUAUAAAGCCAGCUCCCUGUCCAACAGGGUAACUCUAGACUCUAGAAAAUGUGAAAAAGGCUUGUGUCUGACCAUCCAGCAAUUCUGGAAUUUGGGAGUCAAGGAGAUUCGAAGAUCUGUCAACUCCGUAUCUGGUCACAAAGGAACUUGUAUGAAGGUGCAGCACUGGGUUAUCUGAACUCAGUGGAAGUGGAGUGAGAAAAGGACUACGUAUUGCAUGAAACAGCUUUUCAGUUCUCAAAAUGCAUUUUCAUGGAUCCACCUUCCUUGGCGACAUGGAGACACUUCUAAUCACGACUUAAGCAACCAUAGAAGGAAGGACUCACUGGGGAUGACCAGCAACACCAAUGCUUUACCUCACCUCGUUUAUUUCAUUAGUUCUUCUGCCUUCGAAGCCAGCAAACACUGCACUCCCUUCCUUGCUAGGGGUCAGAGGAACAGGCGAGGAUGAUCUGCUAUGCACAGGUGUCUCUUCAAAAGGAAAA